rnacentral:sRNA from 12 species
GCUAUAAUAUCUUUAGAUUGAGAUGCUGGUGCAGAGGUUUGCAAGCUGCCAGCAGCCCUCACACGGACAGGAAAACAAGGAUACUUGUAACCGUUCCCGUUGAGAAAUCUGGAUGCUGUAAAAAGCAAAGCGAGUAGGCGUGCAAUCGUUUCGAGAAGUUAAAAGCUAGUAAAGCGUGGUCGGAACAAUAGACGCUCCUGUGGAGAAUAACCUAUCAGACAGCUCUUUGGCAAGGGCGUGAAAAACUUGAUAGGAAAGCCAAACAAUCCGAUUUGUAGUGAAAGAGUGAAAACUCUCUAUAACACGCUAUACUGAACAAGUAGCCCAAUCUACAUGUAAAACAAGAAAUUUUCUUAUGUUCCUUUUUGAACUAAAAAGUUUUCCGAAAGCGGGUGAAAGUUGGAGGUUUCAAGCCUCUUGUCUCUAUGGGUGAUAGCGUUUGAGCUAUUAUCGGGAUUGACUGCAUUAAGGUCGCUACUUACUGCACGGGUCAAUGUCGGGCGUGGCCGAAGAUAACGAGUCGAAAUGAUGUAGGGUGAACAAAAGCCCCUCGAUCUUUUAAAAGUACG